rnacentral:rRNA from 1 species
GUCUAUGGCCAUGCUACCCUGAAUAAGCCCAAUCCUGUCUGAUUUUGGAAGCUAAGCAGGGUCGGGUCUGAUUAGUACUUGGAUGGGAGACCACCAGGUGCUGUAGGCG